UUCUUUUCUACAGUUUUCUUUGCAGUCCUAACAACUUUGCGUCAGUUUAUAAUUGAAGUUCGUAGAAAAGUCAGUAUAGGGUUGUUAGUUUGAGUCAUUAUUGUAGGUUUUUAGUAAAGUUUUAAAGAAGGUUACUCUGGGAUCAAUCCGGAACCAUCCAACCGUGACGACGCGUGCCGGGUGAAAACACUUCUCAUGUUUUGCCACAUCGAAAACCGAACGUAGUGUUUUCCGGCGUACGGUCGCCAUUAUAUCCGUAAAUAAUUUCUGCAUUAACGUUGCCACAGAAGUCGUCACUUGGCCGGAAAUGUCGCACCAAGUGAGUGUGGCUUUCGAGCCGUUGUCGACCGGCGACCGUCGACCAGGAGUGGCAGAGUUGAAAGAUUAAUGGCCAAUUUAUGGAGAUGGAAUUAACUGCAUCUUUGUGAACACGGAUUAAUAAUGAGGAUGUGUUAGAUAUAAAAGUGAAUGGAACAAACCGAUAGAAUUUUAUCUUCGUAGCAACCUCGAACAUCUCACCAAUAUUAUGCAUGCUCCGAAAAAAAGGGUAACCAGUCGUCAAUACAAUUGAUACAAGCCAUAUGGCCAACCCGCCCUUCCACAGUCGAUCAAUUUAUUUAUCAACAAAGAUAAUCCAAUUUAUUUUAAUGUUUCUUAAUGCACCACUCGGUGACACGACUUAAGUGCGCUUUCUUCACUCGAAACCAGUACAACAAUUCAGUCUAGCGAUAACCACCCUCUCUGAUUUUAUUUUAAUACACUUGUUCCUGGUUAUUAUCAUCAUCGUCACAACAAUACUGCAGUCAGACGACCUCGUCCCCUACUCGAUAGGGUAGCAGUAUCGGUUUACAGUUUGCUAAGGGGAAAUUCCCUAACCGAAGAUGGGAGCCGAAGUCACCCCCCGAUGAAGUACCGAUGUUAUCAAUCUUGUUUUCCCCGGAGACAAUCACCGAUUCGAAGAGGAACUUCGCGUUCGCAGCAACUAAUGGAACUGUUUUGCCGUUGCCCUUUUCGGUGCAUGGAUUUCCAGCACGAAAAAGGGGACAAUACAGGAAUGCCAAACUGAGUCACAGCAGCCGGCAAUGGACGACAGAUAAACAGAUUCAUUCGCCUGGAAUUGGCUUGUGUCACGAAUUAAGCAAUUAUAAAGCGUGAUUGUGGGUGGUGGUUUUGCGAUGAAUUAUGAUUGGCAUCUUAAUCGAGGGUUGGCCGUAGUAGGAAGAUUGCGGUUCGUGGGCUCAAGAUGAUCAUCUGUUGCAAUUUUCACCUUUCGUUACGCUAACUUACCUAGCAUUUUUUGAAACUUCGAAUAAUAAUCUCUAGAAUUAGCAUUUUCCGACUACCGAACCAGAAACUUUUUAUUCCUGAACUUGUUUCCAAGGUAAAAUCCGAUUUAAAUGAGUAUAGUAGCAAUGUGACCUGGUAGGAUGUACUGCGUUUCAAAAUGCCCGAACUAAGUCAAAUAGGAGUUCAGCGGCAAACGAAUAUACUGUUGCAGUAAAACGACGCAUUGGAAAACAAAAAAAAAUCCCAUUUCAAUAAUAAUUCAAUGCGAAAAUUUUGAAAACUGAGGUCGCAAACAGCUCUUAGUAUAACGAUGUUCAAUAAUCUUCCUUUUCUGACAAAAUUAUGAAUUACAGUGAGAGUCUUCGCGGAAUGUGCCUUGGACUCUUGUAUGAAAAACAAAGUAAUCACUAAUUACCUAUAUUAUGAACUUAGUAAAUAACCUUAACAGCAACUUUUAAACCUUCUUGGUCUUGGACUUCUAAAACUUACGCAGUCAGAUAUCAAGAAACUUUUUCAGCGUGUCUACCUCUUCUAUAGUCACUCGUUUGAGCCAAACUUAUGAGACCGUAACUCUGGAGUCGACCUGCUUCAAUCAACCUAGUGGUGAUGCCGUUUUUUUACGUUUAUUCGAGAAAUCGAUGUAGUUUAUAUGUUGUAAAUUUUUGACCUCCGUUUCCGGUAUUUCCAAAAUCAGAAAUCGAAGACCGACUUUACUGUAAAAAGUUUGCUUUGCCAGCAAAUAUCAAGACCACAUCGUGUUUUAUUUCUGUCUAGUCACAUACAUAAGGGUUUGAUGUUUAAAAACGUGCCUAAUCCGCCCAGCAGUGAGAUGAUACUUUUUUUAUCCAUCCGCAUUCUUCGGUGUUUUUAGUAAUCAUAUAAACAUUUUAAUGACCGUCGUUUUAAGUGACAGUUUAAAAUUUCAAUCACUCACUACCCUGUAAUUUCGGUACUGCAAACUGCAAGUCGGAUCGACAACAGAAAUAGAACAAAACCAUUAAACCAAAAAGCAUUCUAUGAGAUGUUGAAGUGAGUUCCUUUUUAGGGUUUUGGUCAUUAUUUACGGUAUCCGGCAUAACCAAAAACGGUUCGUAUGGCCAUGAAUUAA